ACGCGCUCAGAGGGAGAAUUGUGCAAGCUGAGUCGCAGGCAAUGGCAGCUCUAUCAGUCAGCGUGCUCAUCACAGGGGCCAACCGAGGCCUGGGCCUGGAGAUGGUGAAGCAAAUAGUGGAGGCCCCCCGACCACUGAAGAAGCUGUUUGCCUGUUGCAGGGAUCCAGAUGGGCCAAGAGCUGAGGCUCUGCAAACACUGGCAAAGAAGCAUCCUGACAUCAUCUCUGUCGUCCGCCUUGACGCAGAUGACCUUUGCAGCAUAAAACAGUGCGCCCAGCAUGUGGGCUCUCUGGUGGGGACGGGGGGUCUCAACCUGCUGAUUAACAACGCUGGCAUCAUCUUCAGAAAAACCCUGCAGGAAACAAGUCCUGAGGAGAUGCAGAAAACCUUCAACACCAACGUCAUAGGCCCGAUGAGCAUCCUUCAAGUUCAGUACCAACCACAUCAUAAAGUACGCGGACGAUACAACAGUGGUGGGACUCAUCAGGGACAACAACGAACAGGCCUACAUGGAGGAGGUGCUCUGUUCUCCCUGCUGCACUCCGGCAAGAGGAGUUCCUGCCUCACCUGCGUUCAGCGGCAAAGGCCUGUGGGACGCCAGGGAUGUCCACCAGCAAAGCAGCCGUCGUCAACAUCUCCUCCACUCUGGCUUCAAUGCAACGUAUUCAACAAACAUAUGAGUUUAUACCCGCCGUCUCCUACCGCAUCAGCAAGGCUGCUCUGAACAUGCUGACUAUGUGUGCUGUAGAAGAACUGAGGAAGGACGAGAUCCUGUUUUCUCUGCUGCAUCCAGGCUGGGUGCGCACUGAGAUGGGUGGAGAGGAUGGGGAAAUUGAUGUUCAGGAGAGUGUGCUGGGUAUGUGUGACGUGAUGGCCUCCCUGACUGAGAAGCAGAACGGAGCCUUCCUGGACUACAAAGGAAAUCCCAUUCCUUGGUAGCUUUAAAGCACUUCAUAAACUAAUGAAUUAAUCCAAAUGAAAUAAACCAAUACUUG